GGCUGUGAUGGCUUUUAGUGGAAGUGUACUUCUUGCGCACUCUCAGAUUUGUUAAAUUGUGUAAAAGAUUCUCUUGAGUUUUUUCGCUGUGUUCAAAGUGUCCAGUUCGAUCCUCGCGGUUUGAAUUUUCUUGACUACUUGAGGAAUCAGUACUGUCAGAUUCUGCUAAUUAAUAGCACCACCACUGGAGGGAAGCAAUUCAGCACAGUAAUGCUAUCCGUGACGGAGGCGAUACUGGAUGGCACAUUGUUCCGUUAGUUAAUAGUCUGGGAAAGCCUUAGUGUGACGACUCUAUUUUU
rnacentral:SRP_RNA from 25 species